rnacentral:rRNA from 1 species
AACGUAGGAGGCAAGCGUUAUCCGGAAUUAUUGGGCGUAAAGGGCGCGUAGGCGGCUUUUCAAGUGACGGGUGAAAUCCCUCGGCUUAACCGAGGAACUGCCUGUCAGACUGGAAGGCUUGAGACCGGGAGAGGUGAGUGGAAUUCCCAGUGUAGCGGUGAAAUGCGUAGAUAUUGGGAGGAACACCAGUGGCGAAGGCGGCUCACUGGACCGGAACUGACGCUGAGGCGCGAAAGCGUGGGGAGCAAACAGG